GACCGCGUAGCUCAGUUGGCAGAGCAUUGGGCUAGUAUUCCAAAGGUUGUAGGUUCGAUUCCUCCCGUUGUCA
rnacentral:tRNA from 1 species